AACACACGGGGUGCUGCGCGCCGAUGUCGGGCGCGGCUGAGAUCAGACCCGCAGAACCUGAUCCGGAUAAUGCCGGCGUAGGAAACCG
rnacentral:ncRNA from 1 species